UACGGGGGGGGCAAGCGUUGUUCGGAAUUACUGGGCGUAAAGGGCUCGUAGGCGGCCAACUAAGUCAGACGUGAAAUCCCUCAGCUUAACUGGGGAACUGCGUCUGAUACUGGAUGGCUUGAGUUCGGGAGAGGGAUGCGGAAUUCCAGGUGUAGCGGUGAAAUGCGUAGAUAUCUGGAGGAACACCGGUGGCGAAGGCAGCUCGCUGGGACGUUACUGACGCUGAGACGCGAAAGCGUGGGGAGCAAACAGG
rnacentral:rRNA from 1 species